rnacentral:rRNA from 1 species
AGACCAGACUCCUACGGGAGGCAGCAGUAGGGAAUAUUGCUCAAUGGGGGAAACCCUGAAGCAGCAACGCCGCGUGGAGGAUGAAGGUUUUCGGAUUGUAAACUCCUUUUGUUAGAGAAGAUAAUGACGGUAUCUAACGAAUAAGCACCGGCUAACUCCGUGCCAGCAGCCGCGGUAAUACGGAGGGUGCAAGCGUUAUCCGGAUUUAUUGGGUUUAAAGGGUGCGCAGGCGGCACGGCAAGCCGGCGGUCAAAUCGCGGGGCUCAACCCCGCCCAGCCGUCGGAACUGCCGGGCUAGAGUGGGCGAGAAGUGCGCGGAAUGCGUGGUGUAGCGGUGAAAUGCGUAGAUAUCAGGAGGAACACCGGUGGCGAAGGCGGCCUGCUGGACUGCGACUGACGUUGAGGCCCGAAAGCGUGGGGAGCAAACAGGAUUAGAUACCCCAGUACG